AAUAUUGGACAAUGGGGGCAACCCUGAUCCAGCCAUGCCGCGUGUGUGAAGAAGGGCUUCGGAUUGUAAAGCACUUUAAGUUGGGAGGAAGGGCUUUAGGGUAAUACCCUGAAGGUGUGACGUUACCAACAGAAAAAGGACCGGCUAACUCUGCGCCAGCAGCCGCGGUAAUACAGAGGGUGCAAGCGUUAAUGGGAAUUACUGGGCGUAAAGCGCGCGUAGGUGGUUCAGUAAGAUGGGUGUGAAAUCCCCGGGCUUAACCUGGGAACUGCUUUCAUAACUGCUGAGCUAGAGUACGGUAGAAGGUAGUGGAAUUUCCUGUGUAGCGGUGAAAUGCGUAGAUAUAGGAAGGAACACCAGUGGCGAAGGCGACUACCUGGACUGAUACUGACACUGAGGUGCGAAAGCGUGGGGAGCAAAC
rnacentral:rRNA from 1 species